GGCGUGGUAGCGCUGGGAGCGCGUCUGCAUACGAUAGAGUUGAUCGAUAAGGAUUAGCAGAAGGAGCUCGUUCGACUCGAGCCCACGCCA